CAAAAUUAAUGUUUUUUUUCUCAGAUCACUGUACAGGAAUUUGACAUUGAACCAGCUAGCCUGUUUUGAUAUACUCUACCUGUAAAAUUCUUUAUGCCUUUAUUAAACAGGAAAAGUUAAGAAAUAAAACAAGCCAAGAUAUGAUUUAGAAGAAAAAUAGCUUGGGUUCAUCUUAGAUAAUGAACUGUUCAUCCAAGGUGACCUGUGAUUCCCGGUUCUUCCUCAAGAGAAAAUUUAAAAAGUUGUUAAUUGGAAGAUUUUAAGGUAAACUGCAAAGGACAAAGAGAAUUGCUGCACUAUGGCCAGAAAUUGAGCCCACAGGAAUUAGCUGAAUGGCUGUAAUAUAUCUCCCAUAGAAGAGGGCAGUGUUGG
rnacentral:lncRNA from 1 species